rnacentral:lncRNA from 1 species
UAUCUGUGGCAUAUGGAAGUUUCCAGGCUAGGGUUCGAAUUGCAAACAAAGCAGCAAAGCCAGACCCAAGACAUGUCUGCCACCUACACCACAGGCCAAGGCAACAUCAAAUCCUUAACCCACUGAGCGAGGCCAGGGACCAAACCUGCAUCCUCAUGGAUACUACUUGGGUUCAUGACCACUGAUCCACAAUGGUAACUCCCAUCAUGAAUUCUUAUUAUUUUAAGGUUGUUAAAAAUUGAGAUUAUAAAUAUAUCAAUAUAAAAACUAUUUUAAUCUCUUAAUCAUAAAAUCAUAUGUGGGAAUGAGAUGUCCUAUUAGAUCUAAUAUAUAUAUCUUGGCAUUCUGUCUUGAACAUUUAAGAAAUACACUCAUGUGAAAAUUUUCAAGGUUUAGUUAUAAGAAAAUAGUUGUGUAAUUCUUGGUGUUAAUAUAUCCCGUAGCUAUACUGAAAAUGAGGCAAACAGUGUGAAACUGUCAAACUGUAAAAGGCAGUUUUAUUGGUUUGCUUUAUACAAAAUUAAUUCAUUGAUAAGAGUUGCAAGGACUUUAACCAUACCAGGCAAUGAAAGGUACAAAGAAUUUUUUAAUAUGCUUCAUAUUUAAUAAAAUGUCCUCUCAUAUGUAUUCUCCUUGAGCCUUAAAACAAGCAGAUGAUGAAAGUAUAGCACUUUGCACAUAGAGGAAAAACUGAAGCUAAGAAAUCCUGGAUUUUCCCAAGGAUACACUAAUAAAUUGAAGAGAUAAACAGAUAGAAGAUGCCACUACAGUUUGAAGAAGAAGCCACUACAGUUUGAAGAAUGUACUGGAGAAGGUAUUAUGGGGACUAGACAGAAGCCAGUUGAGAAACCAGUUGAGUGGCUAUUAAAUAUUUCAGGUAGAGAUGGUAAAAUCCAUAACAGAGGUAGGGGCAAUGGGGUGAAAGGAAACUGAUGGAUUUCAAAGAUACUCAUGACAAUUAAGUGGCUGAAUAAAUAGGUGGAGUCAUAUGAAAUUGCUAUUAUUUAACUCUUUUGACAAAUACAAAAGUCAAAUCUACAUUGUUUAAUCUCCUAGAAGUUAAGCAUAAAGGAGUCAUCAAACAAGAUUCUCAGGUUUGAUAACUGAAUAGCCAAGUGGUUGGUAAAAUCAUUUAUUGUAAUAGCAAGCACAGGAGACAAAAGAAGACACUGUUUUUCUGGGCCUAUAUGAUCUUAAAUGUCUUUGAGAAAGUAAGUUGUAAUAUUCAGCCAGAGUAAUUAGGUAAGUAGAUAGGGGAUUCAGAAGAACAACUGCAUCAGCAGUAAACAGCAUUUAGACAUACGUCAAAAUCAUGAGACUUGAUAGUUUGAAAAGUACGUGUAUGAACUGAUGAGAAAAAAAAGAGUGAGAAAAAAAUCAUUCAGAAGAAAGAAAAGAGGACUAAAAGAGAGAGGCAGCAAACAAACAAAGAAACAAACAAAAAACAGAUAUUGGUGUCAGAAUACCAAGGAGAGUUCACAAAAAGGAGUGAUCCUUUUUGUAUCAUUCUACUAGAAAGGUAGCCAGUGAAAUAAGGCAAGAAGAGAAAAGGCAUACAGACUGGAAAUGAAGAAAUGAAAAACUUUGCUGAUUGCAUGAUUAUCUGCAUAGAAAAUAUCAAAAAACCUUCAGAAAAAGAACUUCUAAGUGAUUUUAGCAUGCAUGGUAGCAGGGUAUAAGAAUGAUACUGUUCUUUUUUAAAAAUCAUAUUUUUAUCUUUGAGUAAUGUACACCUUGAAAUUAAAAUUAUAAAAAGGUACUAUUUAUAAUUAGACUGUAAAUGCCAAGUACUUAGGUACACAGCUAAAAAAAUGUGUGCAAUAUCUACUGAAAACUACAACACAACUAUUAACAAUGCAAACUAAAGGAAUGGAAAUAUAUACUACGUUCACUAGUUGGAACAUUUAAUAUUUUUAAGAUAACAGUUUUCCCAAACUAAUCUACUAAAUGCAAUUUCAAUCAAAAACUAGUAGUUUUUUUUUUUUAGAAACAAGUUGAUAACAUAUGCAAAGAGAAAUACAAAGAAACUUAAAUAGUCCAUUUUAAACACAUUUUUGAAAAUGAUCAACAAAGUCUGAGGACUCAUAUUGCUCAAUUUCAGGAUAAACAGUAAAGAUACAGUAAUCAAAAUAGCGUAGUAGUGGCAAAAAAAAAAAUAUAUAAACGAAUAAAAUAGAAAAGCCCAGAAAUAGACCCACACAAAUACAAUGGGUUUUUUUUGCUUUGUUUUUUUACUUUUUUAGGCCCACACAUGCAGCAUAUGGAAAUUCCCAAGCUAGGGGUUAAAUUGGAGCUGGAGGUGCAGACCUAUGCCACAGCCACAGCAGCAGGAUCCUAGCCAUGUCUGCAGCCUAUGCCAUAGCUUAUGACUAUGCUGGAUCCCCAACCCACUGAGCAAGGCCAGGGAUUGAACCCUCAUCCUCAUGGAUACGAGUAAGGUUCAUAACCCUCUGAGCUACAAUGGGAACUCCCCAGUUGACUGUUCUGUCUGAAGGUUAAGGCAGUCUUUUCAACAAACGAUUCUAAAAAAUUUGAAUAUUCAUAUGCCAAAAAUUUAACCUUAACACAAAUCACAUACAAAAUAAAAGAAAAAAAGAAGAAAGCCCUUAAAAGAAAACCCUCAAAAUUGAUCCAAGAAUUAAAAGUAAAACCAUAAAAUGUCUAGAAUAAAAUAUAGGGGAAAUGAAAUUAGAUAAAGAUAUCUCAGCUAUGACACCAAAAGCAGAAUCCAUAAAAGAAAAAAAAUAUCAGACAUCAAUAAACUUAGAAACUUCUAAUCUGGGAAACACUGGUAAGAUCAUGAAAAAAUGAGGUAAAGACUGGGGGGAAUAUUUGCAAAUAUUAUAUAUGGUAAAGGACUUAUCCUGAGUAUAAUAAGAACUCUCAAAACUCAUAAAAAAGCAAACAAUCCAAUAUUUUUAAUGAGCAAGUAUUUUAAGAGAUAUUGAAGUAAGAACACAUUCAGAUGGCAAAUAAGCACAUGAAAAUAAGUAGUUUUUUUAGGGAAAUGCAAAUUAGAACCACAAUGUGAUACCAUAACAGAUCUAUUAGAUGACUGAGAAAAAUAAACUGAAAGCAAAAAGUAAUUGACAAUUCCAAAUAGUAGCUGGGAUACCAAGCAACCAGAACCCUCCUAAAAUGCUGGCAGUAGUGCAAAAAGUAAGCAUGUUGGAAACAGUUUUAAAGAUUAUCAUAAAAUUAAACAUACAGUUAGCAUAUGAUCCAGAUAUCCCACCUUGAGACAUUUACCCAAAAUUUAUGAAAACAUACUCUCACAGAAAUAUCUGUCCUGAAAGUUUAUAUAGAAUUAAAUUUUAAUUGCCCCAAAAUGGAAACAACCUGAGAAUCCUUAAAUUAGUGAAUGGUUAAACUCUGGAAUAUUCUUACAGUGAAUACUACUCAGUAAUAAAAGGAGUGAACUACUGACACACAACAUGAUGUCGAAGUACAUUAUGUUAAGUGAAAGAAGCUGGCCUGAAAAGGCAACAUAUUGUAUGACUCCAUUUACAUGGCAUUUUGGAAAAAGCAAAAUUAAAGGAAAGAAAACAGAUCAGUGGUUGUCAGAGGUCUGUAUGGGGGGGGAGACUGGUUACAAGGGCCCAAAGAAAACUUUGCAGACAAACCAUUUUGUAUAUUGACUUUAACGGUGCUUAUAUAACUGCAUGCAUUUGUCAAACUCUGAAAUAUAUAUUAAAAAGGCCAAUAUUGCUGUGUAUAAAUUAUACCUUAACAAACAAUGGGGGGUGAUCAAGCCAUGUGUAACACUUCAGAUAUAUCAUGUAAGAAAAGAACAACAUCCUAUCUAUUGGAUUUAGAAACAAGAGUGCCCUUGGUGAGAAAAGAAGUGAAGUAUCAUAGAAAGCAAAAAGUCAGUUUGCGGCUGUUCAGAAAGCCAAGAAAAUGCAUCUGAUAAAGUAGGAAGAGCCAAGGCUGUUGACAAUACUCUCAGGAAACUUGAACUAAAAAAGAGACAGAGAGAGAGAAGGUGUUAUGUAGAGUGUGAAUACAAAACUGGGUAAAAAUCACCUGAAAUUUGGAUAUUUGCCUGUAUAUACAGAAAAGACAAUAGAGGAGGGAGUUGAAGAUAUCAGGAUAAGAGGAAAAGUUAACGGUAUGCAGCCUGUGAGGAGAUAGGAGUAGAUGAGUUUAAGCAUAGAACUGGAGCAGGAACCAGGAGAUGGAAGGGCACCAUUUCAACUUUAAUUGGAAAAAGACAGAGAUGAGUGUGACUACACCAAAUUUUGACAGAGUGGCAGAGAGUUGAGGGAAUUUCUAAUUUAUACCUGCUAUGUUUCUCUGUGAGUGAACAUGGAAACUAGAAAACAAUCUCUAUAGUGUUGCAGCCCCCCUCUCCUUGAAGCUGGAGAAAAUAAAUCUGAUACCAUUAAAGCAGUUGUUUCCAAAAGCAUUGAGCAAUCCAGACUAAGCUGAACUCAUCCAAGUUCUCACAGUUUGUUUCUGAUUGGUGAAAUGGAACAACAACGAGACAGAGGAAUUGAGGAUGUUUUCAAAAGACAUGUAUUUUAGAGUAAGCAGUGUAAGAAAGCAAGCAAAAGAAUGGAGAAGAAAAGGAGGACUCAAGGGAUUGGUGAUUUUAUGGAAGUUGAACCAAUGAGGUGGGUUUAACACAGCAAAUCAACAGCAAUAACUUGUUAUGAAGGCUAUCAUCACAGAGUGGGAUUUCAGGGCUUGUAGAUUUCAUAAGUGGUCUGAGUAAGGAAGAAAUUCAUCAUGUGACACUGGGAAGGGAAACUGAUAUUGAAAAGAGGUCCUAUCGCAUGAUACACAAUGCUACGGUACUCUGCAGGUUUUCCACAUUCAUAUUUAAAACAACUGAGAACCCCGAUGUGAUUUUUUAAAAAUCAAUUGUGGAACAAGUACCAAAAUAUUAAUUGCAUAAGAAAAAAUUGCUAUAAAAUUGAUAAAUGAGGAAUUAUGUAGAGAACCAGAUUGCUAAGUUUUAUAGCUUUGAAAGGAACAAGUGAGGAUAUAGGAAUUAAGGUUUUGAGUGGCUCUGGUGAGUGAGGACUCUGAAGCUACUACUCACUCCUACACUAUAUGGAACACAGAUGGCGGAAAAAAAAAAUAUCCUAAGUCAGGAUUCAGUUAAUACGUACAUUAUAUCUUUAUAUAGACAGUAUUCACGUCUGAUGAAAAAAGUGCUCCCAAUGCACAGGAGAACGGAGGGCUGUUUAGUGUGCUUUGUGUGUGUGCAUGUGUGUGGCGGGUACUUCUGAAGAGUUGAGGGACAGUGGAAAGCUGAGCCAGAAGUAUGGAGAUGACAUUCUUAAAGACGACUGAUAACCAGUAAGCAUUAUUACUGUAUAGUACCAAGUUCAUAGGCAUAGAGGCAUGUUCUCUGGUUUUUUCUUCUUGACUGCACUAAUUCAUCCUUGGCUAUCACAGAAAAGUAAGAGACUGGACCAAAUUGCACAAUACUGACCAAGAGCAAAUAAAGAUCAUAUGUGCUGAUUGUACACACUUCCAAGCCUAUGGCAGGCAUGACUAAUUGAUUAUGAUGCCCUUUCCUACUAAGAAUAAUAAUUCAGUUCUAAAGGUCUUCUCAAUAUACUGAUCCAGAUAAUCAUUUCCAGUUGGCCAAAAACACCACAGUAAUCAAAUCAUUUUAAAAUCCUUGUUACAUUUUUUCCAUUUUUUUUCCAUUUGACUUUUCUUAUGGACUCCUGUACUGCACAUUACAGGAACAAAAACAAAAACAAAAACAAAAACAAAAAAAAAAAAACAUCAGCAUUUCUCCUUGCCAUUAAGCAUCUUUCUUCUUAUUAAAAAAAAAAAAUCUAUUCACUAUCCCCAUCUACUCUUCUCAGAAACACAGGUCUUACCACAGAUUUUAAAGGUUUCUAAAAGUCCUUCAGGAUUUUAAAGAGAAAUCUAUUAAGUUUUAGUAGAAACUAUACAAAGUUAUUUCCCCAAAUUGAUAUUCUUGCUCAGUUUUACAGAGAGAAAAUGAGUUUA